rnacentral:rRNA from 1 species
GAUGAACGCUGGCGGCGUGCCUAAUACAUGCCAGUCGAGCGAACAGACGAGGAGCUUGCUCCUCUGACGUUAGCGGCGGACGGGUGAGUAACACGUGGAUAACCUACCUAUAAGACUGGGAUAACUUCGGGAAACCGGAGCUAAUACCGGAUAAUAUAUUGAACCGCAUGGUUCAAUAGUGAAAGACGGUUUUGCUGUCACUUAUAGAUGGAUCCGCGCCGCAUUAGCUAGUUGGUAAGGUAACGGCUUACCAAGGCAACGAUGCGUAGCCGACCUGAGAGGGUGAUCGGCCACAUGGGAACUGAGACACGGUCCAGACUCCUACGGGAGGCAGCAGUAGGGAAUCUUCCGCAAUGGGCGAAAGCCUGACGGAGCAACGCCGCGUGAGUGAUGAAGGUCUUCGGAUCGUAAAACUCUGUUAUUAGGGAAGAACAAAUGUGUAAGUAACUAUGCACGUCUUGACGGUACCUAAUCAGAAAGCCACGGCUAACUACGUG